UAUGGUCACAUCACAUUGAAAAGCCGUUACCCGUACGAUCACUGAAGUUAAGUAACGUUGACCCUGGUCAGUACCUACAUGGGUGAUCACUUGGGAAUACCAGCUGUUGUAAG